CGCCUUUUUGGAAAUGAUGGACGCUACACACAUAACAUACAAUAGUUUUGGCAUUGUCAACGGUUCCAGUAAUGUCUCUAGUGGCGUACAUGAUCCGAUCUGCAGGUACAAGAUGGGCCGUCUGACCGCAGAUGCAACAACCGGAAUCAGCUAGGCAUUGUUGCAUUUCUUCAAGGGUUAAAUCAACUUUAAAUCCUACAAAUUUCUUCAUGAUUAAGGUUUUUUGUAGUAAAAAAAAAAAAUUAUUUAUUUACCUGGAAUGGUUUCAAGUUUAUCUAGCGUACCACCCGUAAAACCAAGUCCUCGUCCCGAAACCAUUGGAACUUUUAAUCCGCAAGCAGCCAAAGCGGGUGCCAGGAUCUUGUUCAUUCAAAUACUGUGUUUGUCAACCAACACCGGUUUCCACUCUUCCGGCCAGGACAGCGUUUCGCCUUUCAAUCAAAGCCAAUUACCUGGAAUGGCUUCGAGUUUAUCCAGCGUUCCACCGGUGAAACUCAACCCUCGUCCAGACACCAUAGGCACUUUCAAUCCGCAAGCGGCCAAGGCUGGAGCUAGCACCUGAAAAAAAAAUGAUAUUUCCUAGAAAAGGAAAAAGGAUAGCAACUUACAUUCCAUUGAAGUACCAGGCCAUUAACAUCGCUCCUGUAAAACGUACAUUGAUACUUGCCUAAUUGAACUGGUUCGAUGCAACCCUUGACCAUUUCGUCGAUAAAGAAUUUUAUCUCUUCUGGCUCCAAUUCGUAUUUGUCCCUCUUCUUCUGGAUGACAUCAGG
rnacentral:lncRNA from 1 species